rnacentral:rRNA from 1 species
GACGAACGCUGGCGGCGUGCUUAACACAUGCAAGUCGAACGAUGAAGCUAGAGCUUGCUCUGGUGGAUUAGUGGCGAACGGGUGAGUAACACGUGAGUAACCUGCCCCGAACUCUGGGAUAACUGCUGGAAACGGUAGCUAAUACCGGAUAUGACCAAUGAAGGCAUCUUCUGUUGGUGGAAAGAAUUUCGGUUCGGGAUGGACUCGCGGCCUAUCAGCUUGUUGGUGAGGUAACGGCUCACCAAGGCGACGACGGGUAGCCGGCCUGAGAGGGUGAUCGGCCACACUGGGACUGAGACACGGCCCAGACUCCUACGGGAGGCAGCAGUGGGGAAUAUUGCACAAUGGGCGCAAGCCUGAUGCAGCAACGCCGCGUGAGGGACGACGGCCUUCGGGUUGUAAACCUCUUUUAGUAGGGAAGUAGCGAAAGUGACGGUACCUGCAGAAAAAGCACCGGCUAACUACGUGCCAGCCGCCGCCGUAA